UGGGGAAUUUUACGCAAUAGGGGAAACCCUGACGUAGCGACACCGCGUGAGCGAAGAAGCCUUUUGGGGUGUAAAGCUCUGUCAGCUGGAACGAACACAAUGACGGUACCAGCAGAGGAAGCAUCGGCUAACUACGUGCCAGCAGCCGCGGUAAAACGUAGGAGGCUAGCGUUAUCCGGAUUUACUGGGCGUAAAGCGCAUGCAGGUGGUUUUGUAAGUUGGAUGUGAAAGCUCCUGGCUUAACUGGGAGAGGUCGUUCAAAACUACAAGACUUGAGAUUGGUAGAGGAAAAUGGAAUUCCGGGUGUAGUGGUGAAAUGCGUAGAUAUCCGGAGGAACACCAGUGGCGAAAGCGGUUUUCUGGACCAAUUCUGACACUCAGAUGCGAAAGCUAAGGUAGCAAACG
rnacentral:rRNA from 1 species